UACAACAACGACGACGACGACUGAAGACGACGUGGUCUCGGCUCGUUCCUGCCUUGACCGGUAAUUUUGUGUACUCUUUGCUUUGCUUGGGAAACAUAACGGAAGUACAUUACGGCGAGCAUUGUCAAUGAGAGCUAUUUCCUGUUGAAAGCUUACCUUCGGGUCUCAUGGACGCCCUGAGACACUUGGCCAGCCGACACGCUUGGCAUUGGUUCCUCCGAGCAACAUCCACGAUGCACGCGCCACCUUCCUUGCACACGUACUGGAGGUUCCUUCGCACGCUCCGCUUGAAGAAGCCCCGACAUCCGUCGCACGACGCUACCCCAUAGUGGCGUCCCGAUGCCCUGUCUCCGCAGACACGACACAGAGGCUCACGUCCGCCCGCCGAGGGUAGGGAGACUUCGGGUCCAGCCGGAGACAUUCCCUUCACUGGAGUUCUACGAUACCUGAAUAUGACAAUGACAGAUGACAAUGAAAUACAAUAUGAUGACAAUAUGACAAUGAAAUGAAUAUUGGACAAUA